rnacentral:lncRNA from 1 species
GGCACCCUUGGAGCACUGAGACUCCAUACCCAGGUACGCUCCCUCAUCUCUACUAUUGGCUGGGACACAUUUUUCUUCCAGCGCAUGCCCUCUUUCCUGGAACUCACACACGAGUUCUUCACUACCUUUUACUUCGAUAGGCCUGCCAUGCACAACCUUCACACACCAGGCACAGUUGGAUUUCGGUUAUUGGGACAGCGAUUUUGCUUGUCC